rnacentral:lncRNA from 1 species
GUUACUGGUUAGUUCAUUGUUGUUCCUCCUAUAGGCAGAGCGAAUUUUCUAAAGUUUUUUUUUCUCUUCCUUUAUAGUGGUAAUUAUACUAUAGUUUUUUUUUUUUUUUCCUAACAAAACUUUAUUACAUUUAUGUUAGGUCUCAGACCUGGGGCAAAUGGCUAACUGGGGUGCCUAUUAACAUAUCAGAGCAGACACUGUCGGCCAGUCUCUUACUAUCUCCAGUACCUGGAAUACUCCACCCCUACCCUAAGCAUGCCCAGCUCAGGGACUGGGCUAGGGUGUCCUUCCUGAGGCUGCUCUUUCCUCUAUAACCAAGACUUUUUGGCUCCAAGGUCCCUUUGACCCUUUUUGGGCCUCUUGCCCUCUGGGCCUCUGCUCCUGGUUCCCACCUGCCUCUCCCUGUACUCCUGUAUUCCUCACAUGGCCCUGUUCAGUUGGCCAGUCCUGUUCAGUCUGGAAUCUUCCAGAUGCCCCUGGCUAUGCUUUCCCUCAUAAAAUAAAAUUCCUCCUCGGCCACACCUGGGAGCAGUCAUGUCCUUCCUUUUCUUUGUCUUUUGUUUUCAUUCAAUUUAUAAUGUAUUUCAUCGGGCUGUGGGAUAUAUGGUAUGAUAAACUGUUAGCUAAUUAUACCUCAGCAAAAAGUAUUUUAGGAUUUUUUUUUGUCCCUAAAGAAUUACCUUAAAAAAGAAUAUAUACAAUUUGGGAUGUUGGAAAUAUAAAAUAACAUUAGGAAAAAAAAUCUGGAGGCCCAGUGAGUUGUUUGGGAAGGAAAGUGUUAUUGUUUUAAGUUCAGGUGAAAGGGGCCUGUGAAUUAAGCUAACAGAAGACCGGUUAAUGGGGGAAACGGCAUGUGACUCACUAACAUUAAUGUGUAUGGUAGUUCAUAGCGAAGUGAACUAGGAGAAGCAGUAGGAGUUUAUUGUCUGUUAUAAAGGAAGGAAGGAAGAGGGUUUGAGGUCAAAGGAAGAAUACAUUUGGGAAAAGAGAAAAUGUGAGUGGGGACCAGUGAACAAGAAUGUUCAUUGAGGUCUACUUACACACACACUCACAUACCCCCCACCCCCACACACAUAUGUGCAUACACGCACACAGACACUCACACACACUUACACACACACAUGUCCACAUACACAAACACACAUGCACAUGUACAUUCACACACGUGCACAUACACACACACACACACACACACACACGUACACACAUGUACACACAUGGACACACACACAUCUGGGUUCAUCAUUACCUUCAAUAAGAUUUCCAGGGAGAUGAGGAGGAUACUAAGACCUUGUCCCAAAUAUUUUCCCUUCCCCCACCCUACAUACUUUUGAUUCUAUGUUGUUAUCAUCUCAAAAUAACGCUCUUGCCAAAAUGACACUUUGAGACAGCUGUUGAGGGGCAAGUGUGUUUUGUACUAUAGUUUUGAGUAAGAACUUCCAUGGAAGGCUAGACAAGCCUGAUUCUCCAGAUAAUGUCCUCAGGUGCUCAAAGGAGGCCAUGGGGCUUUUAGCUGCCCUCUCUGCUCCAGCAACCUCUCUUGGGGGCAAGGGGGCUGUGACAUCAUGAUCGGCCAUCAUGACGCACAGCUUGUUCCCUGUCAGGGCUGUUAACAUUGAAUUAGUAAAGGCAGGUCCAUUAGACCCUUACCUGAGAGACCAGUCAGCCACAGGGUCUCCUGUCUGCUGCCCCCACAAGCACCACGUGGUCUUAGGGGCGGAGCUGGAAUAUUUAGGAGGUGGAAGGUGACUUGGAAGGGGUUGGAUCUCUUCAAUGAUACAGCUUUCAUGCCUUGUCACCCAGCUCUGUGGGACUCUGAUGCAGCUGCCUACGAGACACCCCUUCCUGAAACUUUAUGUGUUCCAGGAAAAGCUAUUGGCAUCUAAACAGGGACUCAUCCAAGACGGGCCCUGCUGUGGGUGACAAGAAAGGCAACCGAGGCUGAGCUAGCUAUUUCAGGGUGAAGCGUCUGCAGCAGAAUCCCCACAGCUCUGCUUCCCUAUGCUUCAAGGGAUGGACUACAUCCUUGCUGGGGUGCCAGUGGCCUACAUACCCUAGCUGAGCCGGCUGCCCAGUGGGGACUGGCUAGGGAGAUGUGUCCUCUGUGUAACCUUGGAGUUGACAGGAAAAGUGAGGCCUGGGGAGAAUGAGAUGGGGCUUGCUAUUUCUCGUGGCCACUGAAGGAGCAGAAGGAAAAGUUGUAGUUGCAAACUACAACUGCAGUAACGUGCUCAUCAGAUCCAAGUGAGGAGAACCCGGUAUGGGGAAAGGGGAAGAACAAGGUACAAUGGAUAAUGAAUGAGGAAGUGAUGUAUGGAACGGUUUACACUUGAUCCCCAGAGCUCAGGCCAGAUUCUGAUCAUUAAGAGUUAAGGAAAAUGUUCCUUCACCAGGGACCAUUUCUGAGCUCAGCAAACCUUCCCAGCAGGACCUGAUCUCUCCAAGACAGGCGCUCCAGUGGAUCUGAGUUAGAUCGGUGUAUAGAUCAGAGUUCCUAAGAAGCAAUGGACAAAGACCCAGAGUCUGUGCUGGGGGCCUUGGAAGGCUCUAAACCCUGAGCAGCAGUUUACAGAAGAGGCGAACAAUAUGGAUAUGGAGACAAUCUCUUAGGAGACUUGGGAGUGCUCUCCUGUAGGAUCCAAGACUUCUCAUCUUUCCGAUGCGAACUGAAUUAUGCUAGCAUGUCAACCAGGACAUUUCAGAGAAGCAUCGAACAGAAACGUGUUAGUAAACCUCUUACCAGAACACCCUCACUAUCGAUUUUUUUUUGUCACUAAAACACAAACCAGCAUGGGACAUUAAACAGGACCUUUGGUAUUUGGUGUUGGGAAAAUGCCCCCUUGGAUCUAGAGCUCUUUAGGAGUAAUGGCUUCCCGAAAAGAACUAUAGAGAAAAAGAAGGCAGAAUAACCCAGGUGCCUGAGCAUCUUUGAGGAGGCCCCGAUGUGACUACCUGAAACCAGUCUAUGUCAGCACUUCUUGCUACCUGAGAUAUACAUUAUUCAUGGUUUAAGCCAUUCUGAGUCAGGACUUUUUUUUUAUUGAAACUCGGAGCUGGAAAUAGCCAAGUUUACCCACCAAGAAUAACAUCUGGAUUAUGAACCCUGGAAAUAUAACCACUGUCAUUUUGUGUCCCUGGACUAUAUUAAGCUCUACCACAUGGUUUCCAACUUGAGAGUCACUUGUGAGUCAGCACGUUCUAUUUCAUCUUCCUCUAGAUCAUUUGCUGUUUGGUGGCUGGGCUAAAUUAAAAUUUAUAAACUCUAUCAUGUUAAAGUAAAUUAUAUUAUUAGUAUACAUAGUAAAUGUAUAUUAAAUUGUAUUUCUAUUAUAAUAUAAAUUUUAUUAUGUAUUAAGAAUAUUAUUAUCUGUUUUAG